CUCACUUUUGGCAUUUCGGCUAAGAUGAAGUCUAGUAUCUGUUCUUAUCAGUUUAAUAUCUGAUAUGUCCUCUAUUUGGGGACAACAAUGGGGGAAGCAAA
rnacentral:snRNA from 1 species